rnacentral:siRNA from 1 species
UAAGUGACAGAAAGGUGGUUC